UCCGCCCACACUAAGGAAUGGCAAAAUGAUUUUUCCUUGAGAAAACCCACACCCUUGGAAAGAAAAAGAGAAAGGAUUAGCUUAGAAGCAAAGUGAGAAAGGAAGAAAAGAGAAAAAAAGAAAGAAAGAAAGGAGAAAGAAGAAAAAUAGAGAAGGUUUGACCUAGUGGUUCCAAGUUAAGGAAGCAAAGGUCUUCCAAGAAUUAAAAGAAAUAGAUGCAUGCAUGUAGGUGGAUAUUGUAAUGGAUGGUGAUUUUGAGGCAGAUAAACAAUAUGAAAGUAUUUUGGUCUUGAAACCACAAGUAAACAAGAGAAAUGAGAUGUGUGCUAACUGUUCAUGUUUGUCCCAACAACGAUGACCAUGGAUGUGAGGAAAUUGUGAGCUAUAUGUGUGGAACUCAAGGUAAAACCAAAAGGAAGUUGUGCAAGUGAAGAAAGUUUGUCGUAAUGGCGUGCCAAACGAGGUAACGAGUGACCGACAA